GCUACAGGCUUAACACAUGCAAGUCGAGGGGCAGCAUGGUCUUAGCUUGCUAAGGCCGAUGGCGACCGGCGCACGGGUGAGUAACACGUAUCCAACCUGCCGUCUACUCUUGGACAGCCUUCUGAAAGGAAGAUUAAUACAAGAUGGCAUCAUGAGUCCGCAUGUUCACAUGAUUAAAGGUAUUCCGGUAGACGAUGGGGAUGCGUUCCAUUAGAUAGUAGGCGGGGUAACGGCCCACCUAGUCUUCGAUGGAUAGGGGUUCUGAGAGGAAGGUCCCCCACAUUGGAACUGAGACACGGUCCAAACUCCUACGGGAGGCAGCAGUGAGGAAUAUUGGUCAAUGGGCGAGAGCCUGAACCAGCCAAGUAGCGUGAAGGAUGACUGCCCUAUGGGUUGUAAACUUCUUUUAUAAAGGAAUAAAGUCGGGUAUGCAUACCCGUUUGCAUGUACUUUAUGAAUAAGGAUCGGCUAACUCCGUGCCAGCAGCCGCGGUAAUACGGAGGAUCCGAGCGUUAUCCGGAUUUAUUGGGUUUAAAGGGAGCGUAGAUGGAUGUUUAAGUCAGUUGUGAAAGUUUGCGGCUCAACCGUAAAAUUGCAGUUGAUACUGGAUAUCUUGAGUGCAGUUGAGGCAGGCGGAAUUCGUGGUGUAGCGGUGAAAUGCUUAGAUAUCACGAAGAACUCCGAUUGCGAAGGCAGCCUGCUAAGCUGCAACUGACAUUGAGGCUCGAAAGUGUGGGUAUCAAACAGGAUUAGAUACCCUGGUAGUCCACACGGUAAACGAUGAAUACUCGCUGUUUGCGAUAUACAGCAAGCGGCCAAGCGAAAGCGUUAAGUAUUCCACCUGGGGAGUACGCCGGCAACGGUGAAACUCAAAGGAAUUGACGGGGGCCCGCACAAGCGGAGGAACAUGUGGUUUAAUUCGAUGAUACGCGAGGAACCUUACCCGGGCUUAAAUUGCAGAUGAAUUACGGUGAAAGCCGUAAGCCGCAAGGCAUCUGUGAAGGUGCUGCAUGGUUGUCGUCAGCUCGUGCCGUGAGGUGUCGGCUUAAGUGCCAUAACGAGCGCAACCCUUGUUGUCAGUUACUAACAGGUUCCGCUGAGGACUCUGACAAGACUGCCAUCGUAAGAUGUGAGGAAGGUGGGGAUGACGUCAAAUCAGCACGGCCCUUACGUCCGGGGCUACACACGUGUUACAAUGGGGGGGUACAGAGGGCCGCUACCACGCGAGUGGAUGCCAAUCCCAAAAACCUCUCUCAGUUCGGACUGGAGUCUGCAACCCGACUCCACGAAGCUGGAUUCGCUAGUAAUCGCGCAUCAGCCACGGCGCGGUAAAUACGUUCCCGGGCCUUGUACACACCGCCCGUCAAGCCAUGGGAGCCGGGGGUACCUGAAGUGCGUAACCGCGAGGAGCGCCCUAGGGUAAAACUGGUGACUGGGGCUAA
rnacentral:rRNA from 1 species